GUCAGGAUGGCCGAGCGGUCUAAGGCGCCAGACUCAAGGUUAACCUUCGUCUGCAAAAUUGCAAGCAGAUGAUUGAAUGGGACUUCUGGUACGUGUAUGCGUGCGUGGGUUCGAAUCCCACUCCUGACA
rnacentral:tRNA from 1 species